AGUUUAAUGUCUGAUUUAAAAGAAUUAUUAUGAUGUAGUAACAUAUGCUCUUAGAGCUUAAACUU
rnacentral:tRNA from 1 species